CCUAGCGUUGUGAUUAUAUCCGACGAACCCAAGCCAGGACCUUCCAAACAACAAUCUGACUUUGGUCCGACCCAACGGGAGUUAGUGUAUGAUGAUACCGAUAGUGUGUCAGCAAGCCAUGGGAAAAGACGGAAAACAGGUUGUGUGGAAAGAAAACGGGGACAUAACAAAAAGCACAGUGGUAAG